rnacentral:rRNA from 1 species
AUGGCUCUCGUGGUCUCCCUCCAUGCGCUCGCAGACAUCCGAGACGAGUGGACUAUGCUCUUGCCGGUGAUGAUCCAUGGUGAGCGUCUGGUGGCCCUCCUGGAUACGGGCUCCACGCAUAACUUUCUGCCCGAGGCGACCAUGCGCCGCUUAGCGCUCCAGCCGACGGGCGGGGAGCAACUCCAGGUCACCGUGGCUAACGGCAACCGUCUCUCGUGCCAUGGGCUGGCGCGAAACGUGCCCAUCACCAUCGGCGACGAGCACUUCACCAUCACGUGCGCCAGCAUCAACUUGGGCUGCUUCGACUUCAUCCUCGGCGUCGACUUCUUGAGGACCCUUAGUCCCAUCCUCUGGGACUUCGACGCCCUAACGAUGACCUUCUGGCGCCUAGGUCACCACGUCCGGUGGGAGGUCGUGGGUGGCGCCUCACCAGCGACGCCGCAGCUGCAGCUGGCCGCGACUGCUGCAGGGCCCGAGCACCCUCUGUUGGAUCAUCUUCUGCAGCAGCACCGCGACAUUUUCGAUGAGCCUCAGGGCCUUCCGCCAGCCCGAGUGUAUGGCCACCAAAUUCAUCUCCUGCCGGGCACGGCGCCGGUUGCGGUGCGCCCCUACCGCUACCCCCAGCUGCAGAAGGACGAGCCGGAGCGGCAGUGUGCGCUAAUGCUCGCCUUGGGCAUCAUCCGGAUCUCUACUUCCCCGUUUUCAGCGCCGGUCCUCCUCGUCCGCAAGUCGGACGACACGUGGCGCUUCUGCAUCGACUACCGUGCCCUUAACGCCCAGACGCUCAAGGACAAAUUUCCUAUUCCAAUCGUCCACAAGCUACAUGGGGAGCGCUUCUUCACCAAGCUCGACCUCCGUUCGGGCUACCCACCAGGUGCGGAUGCACCCGGACGAUGUCGCGAAGACGGCGUUUCGGACUCAUCACGGCCACUUCGAGUUCUUGGUGAUGCCUUUUGGCCUCUCCAACGCCCCGGCGACCUUUCAGGCCUUGAUGAACGACGUCCUCCACCCCUACUUGCGUCGGUCUGUGCUUGUUUUCUUUGA